CCUACGGGUGGCUGCAGUGGGGAAUAUUGGACAAUGGGCGAAAGCCUGAUCCAGCCAUGCCGCGUGUGUGAAGAAGGCCUUCGGGUUGUAAAGCACUUUCAGUGGGGAAGAAAGCCUUGGGGCUAAUACCCUCGAGGAAGGACAUCACCCACAGAAGAAGCACCGGCUAACUCCGUGCCAGCAGCCGCGGUAAUACGGAGGGUGCGAGCGUUAAUCGGAAUUACUGGGCGUAAAGCGCGCGUAGGCGGUCUGAUAAGCCGGUUGUGAAAGCCCCGGGCUCAACCUGGGAACGGCAUCCGGAACUGUCAGGCUAGAGUGCAGGAGAGGAAGGUAGAAUUCCCGGUGUAGCGGUGAAAUGCGUAGAGAUCGGGAGGAAUACCAGUGGCGAAGGCGGCCUUCUGGACUGACACUGACGCUGAGGUGCGAAAGCGUGGGUAGCAAACAGGAUUAGAUACCCCUGUGGUC
rnacentral:rRNA from 1 species